UACGUAGGGGGCAAGCGUUGUCCGGAUUUAUUGGGCGUAAAGAGCGUGUAGGCGGCCAGACAGGUCCGUUGUGAAAACUCGAGGCUCAACCUCGAGAUGUCGAUGGAAACCGUCUGGCUAGAGUCCGGAAGAGGAGUGUGGAAUUCCUGGUGUAGCGGUGAAAUGCGCAGAUAUCAGGAAGAACACCUAUGGCGAAGGCCGCUCGCUGGGACGUUACUGACGCUGAGACGCGAAAGCGUGGGGAGCAAACCGG
rnacentral:rRNA from 1 species